UUUUUCUUUCUUUUUCUGCUUACACCCAAUCUCAAUCCCCAAUUAAGUUCCCACCUAGUCCUACCAAGUCCCAAAACGCGGAUUGGAACCACAUGAGUUACUACUCUUGUCGGCUCAAACCUAACACGUUCUACCAAGCUCAAUCCUGAAAAUAGGCCUCACAUGCUCUCACAAAAUAACAUGGUUUGAAAGAAGGGUUGGGUAAGGGUGGGGGAACUACUCCAAUAAUAGAAGCAACUACUUGGAUUAACAACAGUGGUGAAUAAGUGAAAGAAUACCAAAUAUGUAUUCUAUCCACGAGUUCAAAAACGAUGCAAACAUGAUAAUUAUGAGUCAUAUUCAAGUUCAAAUUGACAGGGAAAGGUGUCAUGACAUGCAUCGAGUGGUUUCUAUAAAACAUGGUGCGAUUUUACUUCAAAGUCAUUCAAAUGCCUUAGAGAACUAAUAACUCAUUUUAGUGAAUCAUCAUGCUUACAAGGCUAUUUCCUCAUUAUCCCCUAUGCCUAUGCAACAAUCCUAUAUGAAACACUCUAGACUCGAUCCUAAAUGUAAUGCAACUAAAUGAUCACUUUUUUUUUUGUGGAAUUCAUUUUCAAAAA
rnacentral:sRNA from 1 species